rnacentral:pre_miRNA from 1 species
UGCUGAUGAUGCUGAUGAUGCUGAUGAUGAUGAUGAUGAUGAUGAUGAUGAUGAUCGUCGUCGCCACUGUCGUCGUCAUCAUCAUCGCCAUCCCCA